rnacentral:tRNA from 1 species
GCGAGGGUCGCCGAGCCAGGUCAAAGGCGAUAGGUUCAGGGCCUAUUCCCGCAGGGGUUCGUGAGUUCGAAUCUCACCCCUCGCA